rnacentral:rRNA from 1 species
GAUGAACGCUGGCGGCGUGCCUAAUACAUGCAAGUAGAACGCUGAAGGAAGGAGCUUGCUCUUUCCGGAUGAGUUGCGAACGGGUGAGUAACGCGUAGGUAACCUGCCUGGUAGCGGGGGAUAACUAUUGGAAACGAUAGCUAAUACCGCAUAACAGUAGAUGUUGCAUGAUAUCUACUUAAAAGGUGCAAUUGCACCACUACCAGAUGGACCUGCGUUGUAUUAGCUAGUUGGUGAGGUAACGGCUCACCAAGGCGACGAUACAUGGCCGACCUGAGAGGGUGAUCGGCCACACUGGGACUGAGACACGGCCCAGACGCCUACGGGAGGCAGCAGUAGGGAAUCUUCGGCAAUGGACGGAAGUCUGACCGAGCAACGCCGCGUGAGUGAAGAAGGUUUUCGAAUCGUAAAGCUCUGUUGUAAGAGAAGAACGAGUGUGAGAGUGGAAAGUUCACACUGUGACGGUAUCUUACCAGAAAGGGACGGCUAACUACGUG